GAUCUGCUCCCGGACUCCUUCAGCGCGCUGCCUGCCUGCCCAGGGCCUUCCCGGAGAGCAGGUGACGGCGGCCUCCGGGCAUGGAGCUCGCGCUGACGAAAGGUUCUGGAAGCCGCCGUAAAAAGUAAUCAAGAAACGGGUGACAGGACUUUUCGUAAGACAUUUAAUUUUUACCCAGAGUAUCCGAAACAUUGCCGUGUCAAUCUCAGUGCGAUGGGAGACUGCCGGCCCCAAGGAGCUGCUCGUCCUUCUGCCGAGUUCCGGCCCGGACCCGCGGAGGAGGAGACCGCCGCGCCGGAGCUCGGACCUGACGUUUUUGUGAAGCACAGGGGGCGUGGGAGGGACCGGAUCAAUGCGGCACUCAACAAAACCUGUUUUUAAAAGAGUCGUGCUGUGUCGCCCAGGCUGGAGUGCAGUGACGCGAUCUCGGCUCACUGCAGCCUCCACCUUCCGGGCUCAAGCGAGCCUCCCGCCUCAGCCUCCUGAGUAGCUGGGAUUACAGGCACACACCUCCAGCUCGGCUGUUUUAUUUAUUUAUUUUUUUUUUGAGACGUAAUUUAGCUCAUGUUGACCAGGCUGGAGUGCAGUGGCGCGAUCUGGGCUCACCGCAACCCCCGCCUCCCGGGUUCAAGCGAUUUUCCGCCUCAGCCUCCUGAGUAGCUGGGGUUGCAGGCAUGCGCCACCACGCCCGGCUAAUUUUGUACUUAUAGUAGAGACGGGGUUUCUCCAUGUUGGUCAGGCUGGUCUCGAACUCCCGACCUCAGGUGCUCCGCCCGCCUUGGCCUCCCAAAGUGCUGGGAUUACAGGCGUGAGCCACCUCUCCAGGGCCAAAAGCCUUUUAUUGGAGUACUGGGUAACACAUUCAGAAGAGGGUGCAUAGCUUAGGCGCUCCGUGAAUUUUCACAAACUGAACAUACACCCAGCAGUUCUAUGAGGCUGGCUGCCCUGUUUGACAACUGAGGCCCGCAUCUUCCCCGGAAUCACCGACGUGUGGCUCUGAGCCCUGUCCCAGGGAUUUUCUCCAUCAGAGAAGAGGAGCACUUUGAGCUUUGAGAGGAGCAGCCCUCUGCAAGUGAAGUGGAAAAAAAGGAAGCAGGCGAGGAGGCCCAUCCAGACCCUCCCCCAAGACCCUUGCUGAAAUGGCUGGGAUGCGGCGUGCAGAAGCUCUCCUUUCCUUCACAGCCCCUGGCUUUCCAAGAGUCCCUGCCCACCCAGAUGCCCGCUGGCAGAUGCAGCCUCAUCUCAAGGACACUGCUUGCUGGAUAAAUCCCUCACCACCCUAGAGACAGCCCACGGUCCUGAGACAAGGAUGCGGGCCAGGCUUGUUGCACGUAAGCGCCUCCCGCAGAAACCAGUGAGGCCGGAGUUCCAGAGGAAAUGAUGUAGGGACAGAGGCAGAGGGCCUCCAGGAGGCACCAGCCCCAGAGUCUUCCCUAGAAUCAGACUUUAAGCACAAGCAGGGAGGGAAAGCACUUGAGCAGUGCCCGUCCCUGCAUACCUGGCCUCUGCUGGAACCCAUGCAGGGACAGGACACUUCUUUAUCAGCAAUCCUGUUCCUCUCCUGGGCAGCUUCAACCUGAACAUCCUCCUUCACCUUGAGCUAAAAUGGGUUUCUUGUCACCCUUGCCCAUCAAACCUGG
rnacentral:lncRNA from 10 species